GAUGAAGAACGUAGCUAAACGCGAUAAGUAAUGUGAAUUGCAGAAUCCAGUGAAUCAUCGAAUCUUUGAACGCACAUUGCGCCCGCCAGCAUUCUGGCGGGCAUGCCUGUUCGAGCGUCAUUUCAACCCUCGACCUCCCCUUGGGGAGGUCGGCGUUGGGGACCGGCAGCACACCGCCGGCCCUGAAAUGGAGUGGCGGCCCGUCCGCGGCGACCUCUGCGCAGUAAUACAGCUCGCACCGGGACCCCGACGCGGCCACGCCGUAAAACACCCAACUUCUGAACGUUGACCUCGAAUCAGGUAGGACUACCCGCUGAACUUAAGCAUAUCAAUAAGCGGAGGA
rnacentral:misc_RNA from 1 species